CUAACGUCAAUUCUAAUUCGAAUUACAAUGUGCGUCAAAUUCGCUUUACUGUCCAAACGACGUUAGCUUUUAAUUAGCUUUUAAUUCGUAUUAACAAAAACUUAUUUCUAGUGCGAAUUGACUAAUUUGAAUUAGUUAACUCGAAUCAAUUCGAAUUAAAAAAGAAGAGUGUGUGGACGCGAUAACAGGCCUCUACAUUAACAUUUUUUCUAACUUGUCCCUUUGGACAAGUGGCAAGAAAAUCAGCUUGUCCGAACUCUGAACUCACUUGUCCGAAUUCAUAACUGAAAAUCUAACAUAUUGAUGAUUUAUGGCACACACACAAUAAUAACACUUGGGCUUUGAUUGUACCUAAUAAAAGGAGCAUUUUGUAAUGUUAUAUGAAUACCACAUCAAAAUACAUUUCAUUAUUUCAGAAUGAAAGUUUUUUUGCAAGACUGUGUUCUCUGACUCAAUGUCACUAUCAUUUGUCAAUCAUUAAAUCAUCAUUUCUUCCCAAACCACUACGUUUCCCUAUGGACCUAUUCAUUCUUUAGUAGUGGUAUGGGUUAAACCAAGGAUGUAAAUACACCUGGCCACCUUGAACAUGUAUAUGAGUUAACCUUUUUAAUUUAUUUUGAUUUGUAUAUACAUAUAUGAUCAUGAAGUACAU
rnacentral:lncRNA from 1 species